rnacentral:lncRNA from 1 species
UGAGCUCCUGGCUGGAGAAUUCGCUCACAAGGGUGACAUGAUCAUCUUACGUGUAAAAGAAAACCGAAUUUCACUUCUGGUGGAGACUAUUGUCUGAUUCAUCAUUACAGUAACCACCCAAGGAAACCCUGCCCACAAAAAGCAUUCUUCUGGAGAAGUAACAGUUUUUGGUGACACACAUGAUGGCAACAAUGAACACUUUGUGGCACGAUGACCUCUAUGAAAAAGAGAGAUAUACAGGUUUUGCUUUUGUUCACUCAACUAAUUACCAACCUUUCAUUAUACCUCUACUCGGACAUCUAAACUUCAGUUAAGCUCUAUGUUUAAGUGGGAUGGAUCUUCAAUUUGCCUACCUAAGGAUUUGAAGUCAGGUUUACAGAGGCAUCAUUUUACAAUUAUCAACUUUGAUAAAUGCAGAUUGUCAUGGAACUACCACCAGAAUCCAGAUAGAGAACAUGCUAUCAUCCCUGUUAUAUCCC